rnacentral:rRNA from 1 species
CUUGUGCGUGUGUAAAGGUAGUGCCAAGAAAAGCGGUGAUCAUGAUGAAAAUCAAUUCCCGGUACCCGAAACCGACACAGGUGGGCAAGUAGAGAAUACUAAGGGGCGCGAGGUAACUCUCUCCAAGGAACUCGGCAAAACGACCCCGUAACUUAGGGAGAAGGGGUGCCACCGAGAGGUGGUCGCAGUGAAGAGGCCCAGGCGACUGUUUAGCAAAAACAUAGGUCUCUGCAAACUCGAAAGAGGAGGUAUAGGGGCUGACGCCUGCCCAGUGCCGGAAGGUUAAAGAAGUGGGUCAGUCUUAGGAUAAAGCUAGCGACUGAAGCCCCGGUGAACGGCGGCCGUAACUAUAACGGUCCUAAGGUAGCGAAAUUCCUUGUCGGGUAAGUUCCGACCCGCACGAAAGGCGUAACGAUCUGGGCGCUGUCUCGGAGAGAGGCUCGGCGAAAUAGGAUUGUCUGUGAAGAUACGGACUACCUGCAUUUGGACAGAAAGACCCUAUGAAGCUUUACUAUAGCUUGGAAUCGUGUUCGGGCUUCCUGUGCGCAGGAUAGGUGGGAGGCGAAGAAGGUAUUCUUGUGGGGAUACUGGAGCCAACGGUGAGAUACCACUCUCAGGAGGCUAGAAUUCUAACUUAAUUAAGGACAGUUUCAGGUGGGUAGUUUGACUGGGGCGGUCGCCUCCAAAAAGGUAACGGAGGCGUACAAAGGUUCCCUCAGACUGGUUGGAAAUCAGUCGCAGAGUGCAAAGGCAGAAGGGAGCUUGACUGCGAGAAGUACAGUUCGAGCAGGGUGGAAACACGGUCUUAGUGAUCCGACGGUGCUGUGUGGAAGGGCCGUCGCUCAACGGAUAAAAGUUACUCUAGGAUAACAGGCUGAUCUCCCCCAAGAGUUCACAUCGACGGGGAGGUUUGGCACCUCGAUGUCGGCUCAUCGCAACCUGGGGCGGAAGUACGUCCCAAGGGUUGGGCUGUUCGCCCAUUAAAGCGGUACGUGAGCUGGGUUCAGAACGUCGUGAGACAGUUCGGUCCAUAUCCGAUGUAGGCGUGAGAAUAUUGAGAGGAGCCUUCCUUAGUACGAGAGGACCGGGAAGGACGCACCGCUGGCGUACCUGUUAUGAUGCCAAUUGUAAACGCAGGGUAGCCAAGUGCGGAGAGGAUAACCGCUGAAAGCAUCUAAGUGGGAAGCCCACCUCAAGAUGAGUAUUCUGGUGUAAGGUCACGGGAAGACGACCCGUAAAUAGGCACGAGGUGGAAGUGCAGAGAUGUAUGAAGCCGAAGUGUACUAAUAGACCGUCGGC